rnacentral:rRNA from 1 species
GACGAACCGAGCGAACGUUGUUCGGAAUCACUGGGCUUAAAGGGCGCGUAGGCGGGUAUUCAAGUCUAUGGUGAAAUCCGGCAGCUCAACUGUCGAAUUGCCGUGGAUACUGGGUAUCUCGAGGGAGGUAGGGGCGUGCGGAACUAAUGGUGGAGCGGUGAAAUGCGUUGAUAUCAUCAAGAACAUCGAUUGCGAAGGCAGCUUGCUAGGCUGAUACUGACGCUGAGGCACGAAAGCGUGGGGAUCGAACAGG